rnacentral:rRNA from 1 species
GGCGAUCGGGUGAGUAACACGUAGGUGACCUACCCCGAAGAGGGGGAUAACGGCCCGAAAGGGCUGCUAAUACCCAUGUGGUUGGCGAUUCAGUUCGCCAAUUAAAGCUUCCGCAAGGAGUGUGCUUUGGGAGGGGCCUGCGGCGGAUUAGAUUGUUGGUGGGGUAAUGGCCUACCAAGUCGAUGAUCCGUAGCUAGUCUGAGAGGACGAUUAGCCACACUGGCACUGACACACGGGCCAGACUCCUACGGGAGGCAGCAGCAGGGAAUAUUGCACAAUGGGCGAAAGCCUGAUGCAGCAACGCCGCGUGAGGGAUGAAGGUCUUCGGAUUGUAAACCUCUUUUCCAGGGGACGAGAAGGGACUGUACCCUGGGAAUAAGCAACGGCUAACUACGUGCCAGCCGCCGCG